GCCCUCAAGCACGGCUUGUGUGUUGGGCCCCGUCCUCCUUCCCGGGGGACGGCCCGAAAGGCAGCGGCGGCACCGCGUCCGGUCCUCGAGCGUAUGGGGCUUCGUCUUCCGCUCUUGUAGGCCCGGCCGGCGCUUGCCGACAACAAUCAAUCUUUUUUCAGGUUGACCUCGGAUCAGGUAGGGAUACCCGCUGAACUUAA
rnacentral:misc_RNA from 1 species